CAGAGGGUGCAAGCGUUAAUCGGAAUUACUGGGCGUAAAGCGCGCGUAGGUGGUUGUUAAGUUGAAUGUGAAAUCCCCGGGCUCAACCUGGGAACUGCAUCCAAAACUGGCAAGCUAGAGUAUGGUAGAGGGUGGUGGAAUUUCCUGUGUAGCGGUGAAAUGCGUAGAUAUAGGAAGGAACACCAGUGGCGAAGGCGACCACCUGGACUGAUACUGACACUGAGGUGCGAAAGCGUGGGAGCAAACAGGAUU
rnacentral:rRNA from 1 species